rnacentral:rRNA from 1 species
UUAAGCGACUAAGCGUACACGGUGGAUGCCCUGGCAGUCAGAGGCGAUGAAGGACGUGCUAAUCUGCGAAAAGCGUCGGUAAGGUGAUAUGAACCGUUAUAACCGGCGAUGUCCGAAUGGGGAAACCCAGUGCAAUUCGUUGCACUAUCGUUAACUGAAUACAUAGGUUAACGAGGCGAACCGGGGGAACUGAAACAUCUAAGUACCCCGAGGAAAAGAAAUCAACCGAGAUUCCCCCAGUAGCGGCGAGCGAACGGGGAGCAGCCCAGAGUCUGAAUCAGCUUGUGUGUUAGUGGAACGGUCUGGAAAGUCCGACGGUACAGGGUGAUAGUCCCGUACACCAAAAUGCACAGGUUGUGAACUCGAAGAGUAGGGCGGGACACGUGGUAUCCUGUCUGAAUAUGGGGGGACCAUCCUCCAAGGCUAAAUACUCCUGACUGACCGAUAGUGAACCAGUACCGUGAGGGAAAGGCGAAAAGAACCCCGGCGAGGGGAGUGAAAAAGAACCUGAAACCGUGUACGUACAAGCAGUGGGAGCACCUUCGGGUGUGACUGCGUACCUUUUGUAUAAUGGGUCAGCGACUUAUAUUCUGUAGCAAGGUUAACCGUAUAGGGGAGCCGCAGGGAAACCGAGUCUUAACUGGGCGUUAAGUUGCAGGGUAUAGACCCGAAACCCGGUGAUCUAGCCAUGGGCAGGUUGAAGGUUGGGUAACACUAACUGGAGGACCGAACCGACUAAUGUUGAAAAAUUAGCGGAUGACUUGUGGCUGGGGGUGAAAGGCCAAUCAAACCGGGAGAUAGCUGGUUCUCCCCGAAAGCUAUUUAGGUAGCGCCUCGUGAAUUCAUCUUCGGGGGUAGAGCACUGUUUCGGCUAGGGGGUCAUCCCGACUUACCAACCCGAUGCAAACUACGAAUACCGAAGAAUGUUAUCACGGGAGACACACGGCGGGUGCUAACGUCCGUCGUGAAGAGGGAAACAACCCAGACCGCCAGCUAAGGUCCCAAAGUCAUGGUUAAGUGGGAAACGAUGUGGGAAGGCACAGACAGCCAGGAUGUUGGCUUAGAAGCAGCCAUCAUUUAAAGAAAGCGUAAUAGCUCACUGGUCGAGUCGGCCUGCGCGGAAGAUGUAACGGGGCUAAACCAUGCACCGAAGCUGCGGCAGCGACACUAUGUGUUGUUGGGUAGGGGAGCGUUCUGUAAGCCUGCGAAGGUGACCUGUGAGGGUUGCUGGAGGUAUCAGAAGUGCGAAUGCUGACAUAAGUAACGAUAAAGCGGGUGAAAAGCCCGCUCGCCGGAAGACCAAGGGUUCCUGUCCAACGUUAAUCGGGGCAGGGUGAGUCGACCCCUAAGGCGAGGCCGAAAGGCGUAGUCGAUGGGAAACAGGUUAAUAUUCCUGUACUUGGUGUUACUGCGAAGGGGGGACGGAGAAGGCUAUGUUAGCCGGGCGACGGUUGUCCCGGUUUAAGCAUGUAGGCUGGUUGUCCAGGCAAAUCCGGAUAAUCAAGGCUGAGGUGUGAUGACGAGGCACUACGGUGCUGAAGUAACAAAUGCCCUGCUUCCAGGAAAAGCCUCUAAGCAUCAGGUAACAUUAAAUCGUACCCCAAACCGACACAGGUGGUCAGGUAGAGAAUACCAAGGCGCUUGAGAGAACUCGGGUGAAGGAACUAGGCAAAAUGGUGCCGUAACUUCGGGAGAAGGCACGCUGGUGUGUAGGUGAAGUCCCUGCGGAUGGAGCUGAGACCAGUCGAAGAUACCAGCUGGCUGCAACUGUUUAUUAAAAACACAGCACUGUGCAAACACGAAAGUGGACGUAUACGGUGUGACGCCUGCCCGGUGCCGGAAGGUUAAUUGAUGGGGUUAUCCGUAAGGAGAAGCUCUUGAUCGAAGCCCCGGUAAACGGCGGCCGUAACUAUAACGGUCCUAAGGUAGCGAAAUUCCUUGUCGGGUAAGUUCCGACCUGCACGAAUGGCGUAAUGAUGGCCAGGCUGUCUCCACCCGAGACUCAGUGAAAUUGAACUCGCUGUGAAGAUGCAGUGUACCCGCGGCAAGACGGAAAGACCCCGUGAACCUUUACUAUAGCUUGACACUGAACAUUGAGCCUUGAUGUGUAGGAUAGGUGGGAGGCUUUGAAGCGUGGACGCCAGUCUGCGUGGAGCCAACCUUGAAAUACCACCCUUUAAUGUUUGAUGUUCUAACGUUGGCCCCUGACCGGGGUUGCGGACAGUGUCUGGUGGGUAGUUUGACUGGGGCGGUCUCCUCCCAAAGCGUAACGGAGGAGCACGAAGGUUAGCUAAUCCUGGUCGGACAUCAGGAGGUUAGUGCAAUGGCAUAAGCUAGCUUGACUGCGAGCGUGACGGCGCGAGCAGGUGCGAAAGCAGGUCAUAGUGAUCCGGUGGUUCUGAAUGGAAGGGCCAUCGCUCAACGGAUAAAAGGUACUCCGGGGAUAACAGGCUGAUACCGCCCAAGAGUUCAUAUCGACGGCGGUGUUUGGCACCUCGAUGUCGGCUCAUCACAUCCUGGGGCUGAAGUAGGUCCCAAGGGUAUGGCUGUUCGCCAUUUAAAGUGGUACGCGAGCUGGGUUUAGAACGUCGUGAGACAGUUCGGUCCCUAUCUGCCGUGGGCGCUGGAGAAUUGAGGGGGGCUGCUCCUAGUACGAGAGGACCGGAGUGGACGCAUCACUGGUGUUCGGGUUGUCAUGCCAAUGGCACUGCCCGGUAGCUAAAUGCGGAAGAGAUAAGUGCUGAAAGCAUCUAAGCACGAAACUUGCCCCGAGAUGAGUUCUCCCUGAGACUUUAAGUCUCCUGAAGGAACGUUAAAGACGAUGACGUUGAUAGGCCGGGUGUGUAAGCGCAGCGAUGCGUUGAGCUAACCGGUACUAAUGAACCGUGAGGCUUAACCU